rnacentral:other from 1 species
UCUCUCCUGGGGUGUUGGCCAGUCGCGAAGUCCUUGAGCCGAUACUUUUUACCCGGCCUCGCUGCGUGAGAGCUGUUGUGCAUGUCCGCUGGACGGAAAGCCUGAAGCACUCCCUGCGUCGCCCCCUUGAACCUUUCGGUUCAAGGCCAUGCCGACAGCGGCACCUCGGGCCCUCA